CCCUUAGAUGUUCGGGGCCGCACGCGCGCUACACUGAAGGAAUCAGCACGUCUUUCUCCUUGUCCGAAAGGACUGGGUAACCCGCUGAACCUCCUUCGUGCUAGGGAUUGGGGCUUGUAAUUCUUCCCCAUGAACGAGGAAUUCCCAGUAAGCGCGAGUCAUAAGCUCGCGUUGAUUACGUCCCUGCCCUUUGUACACACCGCCCGUCGCUACUACCGAUUGGAUGGUUUAGUGAGAUCCUCGGAUUGGUCCCGGAGCGGCCUCUGGUCGUGCCGGAGUGCCGAAAAGAAUGUCGAACUUGAUCAUUUAGAGGAAGUAAAAGUCGUAACA
rnacentral:rRNA from 1 species